rnacentral:tRNA from 1 species
GGAAGAGCUACGUUUCCCGGUGGAACGGUUGGACUUCAAAUCCAACAAGGGUUGCCAGCAAUCCAUGGUGGGUUCGACUCCCACGCUCUUCCGCCA